CGCUGAUUGGUUGAAAGUGCUUUUUCAAUUUGCUCAGGGCUUUUAAGUUCAGGUGUUCGGUUGUCUCCGCCGGGCGGCCGAUGGCGUCUCCAGGUCUCCAGGCACCGGCUGCCCUGAAAGAAUCUACCAUCCGCGAUCGUCCUCUCCGUCCCUGUGGGUACCUUCCUGUACGUGGCCUUCAUCACAGCCAAGAGCCCCCAGGAGCUGCUGGCCUCAAAUGCUGUGGCAGUGACAUUUGGAGAGAAACUGCUAGGAGUAAUGUGAUGGACCAUGCCCAUCUCUGUGGCGCUCUCCUCCCAUGUUGUGCACCAGUGACAUUUACACCCUCAUAAACUUUGUGGGUUUCAUCAACUUCCUCUUCUAUGGCAUCACUAUCGCCGAGCAGAUUGUGCUGCACAUCAGAGAGCCCGACAUGCAUCGACCCAUCAAGGUAAAAUGACUCAUCUGUGCCAAAAGCUCUGUUUGGUGGUCCAGCCGGUGCCGGAUGGGAGACCUGCCAGCCUCAAAACAAAGAUGGAGACGACGACGACGGAAACGUGCCUAAACAAACCUUGGCUAUGCCUGUCACUUUUGGGUUAAGGAAAAACAGAGGUACCUGGGGAAGGGAGAGAAAUGAAUAUAGAUCUUCACAUACUGGCCUUUAAUGCUCACUACCAUCUACCAUGUUGUCUGAACAAAUGUUUGAGCUGUAAUGUGCAACUGAAAUUGUGAAAGGCAGGUCUGUUUUUGCUUUAAUGUUGGAAUUUAAUACUUUGUCCUCUCGUCUGUCUUGAGUGUUGGUGUCAUGGCCAUGUUUUAACAUGAGAGUUGUCUGUAUUAUUAAAGCUUGUUGAUACGUGACUGUCUCCUGCCUCAUUAAUGUUU